AGAGUUUGAUCAUGGCUCAGGACGAACGCUGGCGGCGUGCCUAACACAUGCAAGUCGAACGAAGUAUAUUUUCGGAUAUGCUUAGUGGCGGACGGGUGAGUAACGCGUGAACAAUCUGCCCUGUACACAGGAAUAGCCUCGGGAAACUGGGAUUAAAACCGGAUAACACUUUCUGGCCGCAUGGCCGGGAAGUCAAAUUGAUUUAGAGGUACAGGAUGAGUUCGCGUCUGAUUAGCUAGUUGGUGAGGUAACGGCUCACCAAGGCGACGAUCAGUAGCCGGCCUGAGAGGGUGAACGGCACACUGGAACUGAGACACGGUCCAGACUCCUACGGGAGGCAGCAGUGGGGAAUAUUGCACAAUGGAGGAAACUCUGAUGCAGCGACGCCGCGUGAGUGAAGAAGGUCUUCGGAUCGUAAAACUCUGUCCUUGGUGACGAAAAAAAUGACGGUAGCCAAGGAGGAAGCCCCGGCUAACUACGUGCCAGCAGCCGCGGUAAUACGUAGGGGGCGAGCGUUGUCCGGAUUUACUGGGCGUAAAGGGUGAGUAGGCGGUAAUAUGUGUCAGAUGUAAAAGGCUAUGGCUUAACCAUAGUUGGCAUUUGAAACUGUAUUACUUGAGUGCAGGAGAGGUAAGUGGAAUUCCUAGUGUAGCGGUGAAAUGCGUAGAUAUUAGGAGGAACACCAGUGGCGAAGGCGACUUACUGGACUGUAACUGACGCUGAGUCACGAAAGCGUGGGUAGCAAACAGGAUUAGAUACCCUGGUAGUCCACGCUGUAAACGAUGAGUGCUAGGUGUUGCGUAGCGAUAUUCAGUGCCGAAGUAAACACAAUAAGCACUCCGCCUGGGGAGUACGGUCGCAAGACUGAAACUCAAAUGAAUUGACGG
rnacentral:rRNA from 1 species